UCCACUCCACGCAUCGACCUGGUAUUGCAG
rnacentral:piRNA from 3 species